rnacentral:rRNA from 2 species
UAGAUUGAUUCAUUUGAGGUGACUGAGUGGCGGACGGGUGAGUAACGCGUGGGUAACCUGCCUCAUAGAGGGGGACAACAGUUGGAAACGACUGCUAAUACCGCAUAGUAAGAAAGAUUCGCAUGUUUCUUUCUUGAAAGAUUUAUCGCUAUGAGAUGGACCCGCGUCUGAUUAGCUAGUUGGUAAGGUAACGGCUUACCAAGGCGACGAUCAGUAGCCGGCUUGAGAGAGUGAACGGCCACAUUGGGACUGAGACACGGCCCAAACUCC